GAUGAACGCUGGCGGCGUGCCUAAUACAUGCCAGUCGAGCGAACAGACGAGGAGCUUGCUCCUCUGACGUUAGCGGCGGACGGGUGAGUAACACGUGGAUAACCUACCUAUAAGACUGGGAUAACUUCGGGAAACCGGAGCUAAUACCGGAUAAUAUAUUGAACCGCAUGGUUCAAUAGUGAAAGACGGUUUUGCUGUCACUUAUAGAUGGAUCCGCGCCGCAUUAGGUAGUUGGUAAGGUAACGGCUUACCAAGGCGACGAUGCGUAGCCGACCUGAGAGGGUGAUCGGCCACACUGGAACUGAGACACGGUCCAGACUCCUACGGGAGGCAGCAGUAGGGAAUCUUCCGCAAUGGGCGAAAGCCUGACGGAGCAACGCCGCGUGAGUGAUGAAGGUCUUCGGAUCGUAAAACUCUGUUAUUAGGGAAGAACAAAUGUGUAAGUAACUAUGCACGUCUUGACGGUACCUAAUCAGAAAGCCACGGCUAACUACGUG
rnacentral:rRNA from 1 species